CCCGGGUACUGUUCAUCCGCGGGGAAAAAAAAAUCCGAGUUGUUAUGUUACUGCUGCUACUUCUUGCAAACCCUAAUCCAUACACACAAUCAAUUAUUAAUCCAAACAGCCCAUUAUAACACCCAGUCAAAUAUUCUAGUCUCCAAAUCAUUUAACCCGUUACUCAGACUCAAUCUACAUCCACAUAAUCAUAAGUAGCCCAAGUCCUAGAGGCCAUUAUCCACAUCUCAUAUUCAGCCCAAUAAGGCCAUUACAUCAACCCAAUUAUCCAAUCUGGCCAAUAACCCAAUCCUCAGCCCAUUUAUCACAUAUUUAGCCCAACUAGCCCAGCCUACUCUCUACGACCCAGGCCCAUUCUCCAAACACUAACCCAAACUAGCCCAUCUCUAUAACAGGAUCUAAACCCCUUCCCAUCUGGCCCAGUCCCAAAUAUCCGACCAAGCCCGAUUAUAACCAAUCAAUUAACAUCAAAUACCUCACAGUUUCACCCGAUUCCUUUCUCACAACCACUCUCUUGCUGCCAUCGCCUCUAAUCACCAUCACGCUACCACUUCAUUAUCUAUUGUACCCAGGCAUCUAAAACACUACCGCUUCAUCGCCAUAGGCCACCACCACCAACCCAAGAUCAUAGACUUCCACCAAAGUUACCACACUCAUAUAUUUCCUCGUCCAUCUCAACAAUCUAAAAGCC
rnacentral:lncRNA from 1 species